rnacentral:rRNA from 1 species
UAGGGAAUUUUCCACAAUGGGCGCAAGCCUGAUGGAGCAACGCCGCGUGAGGGAUGAAGCAUUUCGGUGUGUAAACCUCUUUGGAGCGGGAAGAACGCCGUUUGGGUGAACAAUCCAGACGGGUGACGGUACCGCUAGAACAAGACACGGCUAACUUCGUGCCAGCAGCCGCGGUAAUACGAAGGUGUCAAACGUUGUCCGGAAUAACUGGGCGUAAAGGGCGCGUAGGCGGUCGCGUAAGUCAGAUGUGAAAGCUCUGGGCUCAACCCAGGAAUUGCAUUUGAUACUGCGUGACUCGAGUUCGGUAGAGGAGGGCGGAAUUCCAGGUGUAGCGGUGAAAUGCGUAGAUAUCUGGAGGAACACCCGUGGCGAAGGCGGCUCUCUGGUCCGAUACUGACGCUGAGGCGCGAAAGCUAGGGUAGCAAACAGGAUUAGAUACCCUGGUAGUCCUAGCUGUAAAACGGUGAGUACUAGGUGUUGGAGGUAUUGGACCCCUUC